GUACUCUCACACUCUCUGAUCCUUUGGAUUCGGGGAGCGGUGGACUUGGGUGUUUGCUGCUUUUCGUUGUGGCUCACCUCAAAUGCGUCAGUGCACCUCUUGGUUGGACAUAGUACGGCGUGAUAAGUGUCUUCGCCGGCACCUCGCAAGAGGGUGGCCGAUCGAGAGCUCUGUGCUUUCAAACCGUCUUCGGACACUUUCUGACA
rnacentral:misc_RNA from 2 species